rnacentral:rRNA from 1 species
AACGAACGCUGGCGGCAUGCCUAACACAUGCAAGUCGAACGAGAUCUUCGGAUCUAGUGGCGCACGGGUGCGUAACGCGUGGGAAUCUGCCCUUGGGUUCGGAAUAACAGUGAGAAAUUACUGCUAAUACCGGAUGAUGUCUUCGGACCAAAGAUUUAUCGCCCAAGGAUGAGCCCGCGUAGGAUUAGGUAGUUGGUGGGGUAAUGGCCUACCAAGCCGACGAUCCUUAGCUGGUCUGAGAGGAUGAUCAGCCACACUGGGACUGAGACACGGCCCAGACUCCUACGGGAGGCAGCAGUGGGGAAUAUUGGACAAUGGGCGAAAGCCUGAUCCAGCAAUGCCGCGUGAGUGAUGAAGGCCUUAGGGUUGUAAAGCUCUUUUACCAGGGAUGAUAAUGACAGUACCUGGAGAAUAAGCUCCGGCUAACUCCGUGCCAGCAGCAGCCGCCGUAA